rnacentral:misc_RNA from 1 species
AGAGAGAAUUACACAAUACAUAUAUAAGAUGAUCCAGAAAUGAUGAUUACAUGUACACGACUAUGCACUGGGAAGAGGCCAAUAAGACCUGCUGAUUUCAUUUUCCUUAAAGUUAAAUUUUAAUGACAACAUGUGCCAAGACUCUUUGCUUGUAUAUUUGUCAAUCUUACAUCUAGACAGGAAGUGUCAAAAAGUCUGAAAUGUAAAAUGAGGAAGAUUUCUUCAAGUGUCAGUCAACCUAACAAUUAAGAAAUUAAGUUAUCUCUUUUUAGGAAAUGGUGCAGAAUUUUUAAUGUCACAAGUUGUAGAUCAAGAAAAUGAUCCUGUGUGAGUAGUAAUGGUAUGGUAUUUCCACUCAACAGGAUCUAGAAAAAUCUAGCUUGGCUAAUACUGUGGUUCCUGUGCAUAAGACAAAAUCUGCUCUUCCAAAUAUGAUUCUUUUUUUAAUUCACAUACAUCAACUUUGUUCAGUAAAAUGACAGCUCAACUUACUGGAUUGAACAUAAUAUUUUUAAUCCUUAAAAGCAUAUUCACUGUAAAAGCAAAUUACUGGAAAAUAUCGUUAAUCUUACGGUUAAAGUUAAUGAUGGGGAAUUAUAGGAGUGAUUAUAGUGUUAACCAGUCACAGUUGUCUUGUUUUAUGAGUACUUAAGUAAGAAUUACUGUUUAUAAAGAUUUUCAUUAUUUAAUAGGUAUUUCCCUUUAAGCGCUGUGUGUAUUAGAUUACACAGAUGAACAGUAAUUAUAAUCUAAUCAUAUCUCUAGUGUGACAAAGCAGCUGGCAUAAGGAGCCUGCGUGGAGCUCCGCUGAUGCUGGGAGUCAUUGUGAAAGAGAUGUGGGCUUUGUGCUGAAUAUUGAUGGCUUUUUGUUCGAGUGAAAGCUACUGUUUCUUAAAAAGUGAACUGAGUGGCAGCUGUCUUUUAUUUUCUCACGAAGAAAACAUUACUGUGAAUAGACAUAGAAUGCUUUAGUCAUUAUGUUAAUAUUACUACGGAAAGUCGCACAGAAUCCAUUUGAAAAGACUUCAAACUGUGUUUCUAUUUUUCAAUAUUUGAAUGUUGUUUUUUUUUUUUAAACAUUUCUGGAAAUGUUAAAAUAGAUGAAAUACAGAUCUGAGGUUUUGUUGUAUUCUACAAUUUUUUAUUUUCAUAAGAUCUGAGAAAUAUGAGGAAAAGGAUUUUAUUUGUGAGUCUCCAGCAUGAAAUAUGUCUGUAUACAUCUAUAUAUCAUAACAGGUGCUUGGUUGCUGGUAUAUGUCUCUUGAUUUUCUCUGAGCGUUUACUCAAGUGUUAAUUAUUAUCUUACUCAUAUACGAUUCCCUACAGUUUGAUAUACCGGGCCAGUGAUCUAUGUAUUGAUUGGUCAAGAACAUUCCCUUUGAAAUGCUAUUGAUCUGUUAUCAGUGAUACAGACAUGUUUUUCUUGCCGAUUGAUACACGACCAUUGUCUCUGUGUCCAGAAUGGUCAGACAUGCAUUUAAUUAUUACAUUGUGUGAGAUGUUUACAAUCUUUUUUAUGUUUGUGUUCAAAUAAAACCUAUGUAUUU